rnacentral:rRNA from 1 species
AACGAACGCUGGCGGCAGGCUUAACACAUGCAAGUCGAACGCCCCGCAAGGGGAGCGGCGGACGGGUGAGUAACGCGUGGGAACGUACCCUUUGCUACGGAAUAGCCUCGGGAAACUGGGAGUAAUACCGUAUGUGCCCUUCGGGGGAAAGAUUUAUCGGCAAAGGAUCGGCCCGCGUUGGAUUAGGUAGUUGGUGGGGUAAUGGCCUACCAAGCCGACGAUCCAUAGCUGGUUUGAGAGGAUGAUCAGCCACACUGGGACUGAGACACGGCCCAGACUCCUACGGGAGGCAGCAGUGGGGAAUCUUAGACAAUGGGCGCAAGCCUGAUCUAGCCAUGCCGCGUGAGCGAUGAAGGCCUUAGGGUUGUAAAGCUCUUUCAGUGGGGAAGAUAAUGACUGUACCCACAGAAGAAGCCCCGGCUAACUCCGUGCCAGCAGCCGCCGUAA